AGUGAACGCUGGCGGUAGGCCUAACACAUGCAAGUCGAACGGCAGCACAGUAAGAGCUUGCUCUUACGGGUGGCGAGUGGCGGACGGGUGAGGAAUACAUCGGAAUCUACUUUUUCGUGGGGGAUAACGUAGGGAAACUUACGCUAAUACCGCAUACGACCUACGGGUGAAAGCAGGGGAUCUUCGGACCUUGCGCGAUUGAAUGAGCCGAUGUCGGAUUAGCUAGUUGGCGGGGUAAAGGCCCACCAAGGCGACGAUCCGUAGCUGGUCUGAGAGGAUGACCCGCCCAAUGGGAAAUGGGAACCGGCCCAGCCCCCAAGGGGAGGCAGGAGGGGGGAAUUUUGGAAAAGGGGCGCAAGCCUGAUCCAGCCAUACCGGGGGGGUGAAGAAGGCCUUCGGGUUGUAAAGCCCUUUUGUUGGGAAAAAAAAGCAGCAGGUUAAACCCCCGGUGUUCUGACGGUACCAAAAAAAUAAGCACCGGCUAACUUCGU
rnacentral:rRNA from 1 species